rnacentral:rRNA from 1 species
UCUGGGUGAACGCUAGCUACAGGCUUAACACAUGCAAGUCGAGGGGCAUCAGGAAGAAAGCUUGCUUUCUUUGCUGGCGACCGGCGCACGGGUGAGUAACACGUAUCCAACCUGCCCUUUACUCGGGGAUAGCCUUUCGAAAGAAAGAUUAAUACCCGAUAGCAUAAUGAUUCCGCAUGGUUUCAUUAUUAAAGGAUUCCGGUAAAGGAUGGGGAUGCGUUCCAUUAGGUUGUUGGUGAGGUAACGGCUCACCAAGCCUUCGAUGGAUAGGGGUUCUGAGAGGAAGGUCCCCCACAUUGGAACUGAGACACGGUCCAAACUCCUACGGGAGGCAGCAGUGAGGAAUAUUGGUCAAUGGGCGGUAGCCUGAACCAGCCAAGUAGCGUGAAGGAUGAAGGCUCUAUGGGUCGUAAACUUCUUUUAUAUAAGAAUAAAGUGCAGUAUGUAUACUGUUUUGUAUGUAUUAUAUGAAUAAGGAUCGGCUAACUCCGUGCCAGCAGCCGCGGUAAUACGGAGGAUCCGAGCGUUAUCCGGAUUUAUUGGGUUUAAAGGGAGCGUAGGUGGACUGGUAAGUCAGUUGUGAAAGUUUGCGGCUCAACCGUAAAAUUGCAGUUGAUACUGUCAGUCUUGAGUACAGUAGAGGUGGGCGGAAUUCGUGGUGUAGCGGUGAAAUGCUUAGAUAUCACGAAGAACUCCGAUUGCGAAGGCAGCUCACUGGACUGCAACUGACACUGAUGCUCGAAAGUGUGGGUAUCAAACAGGAUUAGAUACCCUGGUAGUCCACACAGUAAACGAUGAAUACUCGCUGUUUGCGAUAUACAGUAAGCGGCCAAGCGAAAGCAUUAAGUAUUCCACCUGGGGAGUACGCCGGCAACGGUGAAACUCAAAGGAAUUGACGGGGGCCCGCACAAGCGGAGGAACAUGUGGUUUAAUUCGAUGAUACGCGAGGAACCUUACCCGGGCUUAAAUUGCAGUGGAAUGAUGUGGAAACAUGUCAGUGAGCAAUCACCGCUGUGAAGGUGCUGCAUGGUUGUCGUCAGCUCGUGCCGUGAGGUGUCGGCUUAAGUGCCAUAACGAGCGCAACCCUUAUCUUUAGUUACUAACAGGUCAUGCUGAGGACUCUAGAGAGACUGCCGUCGUAAGAUGUGAGGAAGGUGGGGAUGACGUCAAAUCAGCACGGCCCUUACGUCCGGGGCUACACACGUGUUACAAUGGGGGGUACAGAAGGCAGCUAGCGGGUGACCGUAUGCUAAUCCCAAAAGCCUCUCUCAGUUCGGAUCGAAGUCUGCAACCCGACUUCGUGAAGCUGGAUUCGCUAGUAAUCGCGCAUCAGCCACGGCGCGGUGAAUACGUUCCCGGGCCUUGUACACACCGCCCGUCAAGCCAUGGGAGCCGGGGGUACCUGAAGUGCGUAACCGCAAGGAUCGUCCUAGGGUAAAACU